rnacentral:tRNA from 1 species
GCGGCCAUGGCGGAAUUGGUAGACGCGUCGGCCUCAGAAACCGAUGAGCAAUCAUGGAAGUUCAAGUCUUCUUGGCCGCACCA